GAGUUUGAUCCUGGCUCAGGACGAACGCUGGCGGCACGCCUAACACAUGCAAGUCGAACGGAGAUAUUUUGGUUUACUGAGAUAUCUUAGUGGCGGACGGGUGAGUAACACGUGAGCAACCUGCCUCUGAGAGAGGGAUAGCUUCUGGAAACGGAUGGUAAUACCUCAUAACAUAACGAAGCCGCAUGACUUUGUUAUCAAGGAUUUAUCACUCAGAGAUGGGCUCGCGUCUGAUUAGAUAGUUGGUGAGGUAACGGCCCACCAAGUCGACGAUCAGUAGCCGGACUGAGAGGUUGAACGGCCACAUUGGGACUGAGACACGGCCCAGACUCCUACGGGAGGCAGCAGUGGGGAAUAUUGCACAAUGGGGGAAACCCUGAUGCAGCGAUGCCGCGUGGAGGAAGAAGGUUUUCGGAUUGUAAACUCCUGUCUUAAAGGACGAUAAUGACGGUACUUUAGAGAU
rnacentral:rRNA from 1 species